rnacentral:rRNA from 1 species
GUCUAUGGCCAUGGCACCCUGAACAAGCCCUAUCCCGUCUGAUCUCGGAAGCUAAGCAGGGUCGGGCCUGGUUAGUACUUGGAUGGGAGACCACCUAGGAAGACCAGGUGCUGUAGGUG